AAACCAGCACCUCAAGUGGUCAGGAUGAUUAUUGGGCCUAAAGCAUCCGUAGCCUGCUCUGUAAGUUUUCGGUUAAAUCUGUACGCUCAACGUACAGGCUGUCGGGAAUACUGCAGAGCUAGGGAGUGGGAGAGGUAGACGGUACUCGGGAGGAAGUGGUAAAAUGCUUUGAUCUCUCGAUGACCACCUGUGGCGAAGGCGGUCUACCAGAACACGUCCGACGGUGAGGGAUGAAAGCUGGGGGAGCAAACAGGAUUAGAUACCCGGGUAGUCC
rnacentral:rRNA from 1 species